AUACUUACCUGGCAGGGGAGAUACCAUGAUCACGAAGGUGGUUUUCCCAGGGUGAGGCUCAUCCAUUGCACUGCGGGUGUGCUGACCCCUGCGAUUUCCCCAAAUGCGGGAAACUCGACUGCAUAAUU
rnacentral:snRNA from 1 species